AUUAAGCAGCAGCCAUGGGAUCAAGGGAACAAGAGAUCCAACUCAAGAGAAGCAAAGAAAAUUCUUAGUAAUGGAAGAAGAUCCCAGAUAUUUGUGCACUAGGACAGUAAUACCCCUGAAAACUAUGCACCGAUCUUGGCUUUGUGGUAUGAAACAGAUUCGAAGUGUCUCUUUUUGUGCCGCAGCUCAGAGACAUUAAACACUGGUAAAACACUAAAAUGCUGGUAAGACAAAAAGGAAAACAAAGGAGACAUGAGAACAAAAAGGAAAAAAGUUAUAAGAAGAGAAAGGAUAAUGAAAAAAAGAAGCUAUCUAUCGGGCACUGAAUUACAAUGCAGAGUGAAAUUUUUGCUUUAUUAUACUGAAGGACAACAA